UUUUUUAAAAAUGUUCUCCGUUGGUGAACCAGCGGAGGGAUCAUUACCGAGUUAUCCAACUCCCAACCCCUGUGAAUUAUACCUUUAAUUGUUGCUUCGGCGGGACUUCGCGCCCGCCGGGGACCCAAACCUUCUGAAUUUUUUAAUAAGUAUCUUCUGAGUGGUUAAAAAAAAAUGAAUCAAAACUUUCAACAACGGAUCUCUUGGUUCUGGCAUCGAUGAAGAACGCAGCGAAAUGCGAUAAGUAAUGUGAAUUGCAGAAUUCAGUGAAUCAUCGAAUCUUUGAACGCACAUUGCGCCCGUCAGUAUUCUGGCGGGCAUGCCUGUUCGAGCGUCAUUACGCCCCUCAAGUCCCCUGUGGACUUGGUGUUGGGGAUCGGCGAGGCUGGUUUUCCAGCACAGCCGUCCCUUAAAUUAAUUGGCGGUCUCGCCGUGGCCCUCCUCUGCGCAGUAGUAAAGCACUCGCAACAGGAGCCCGGCGCGGUCCACUGCCGUAAAACCCCCCAACUUUUUAUAGUUGACCUCGAAUCAGGUAGGACUACCCGCUGAACUUAAGCAUAUAA
rnacentral:rRNA from 1 species